rnacentral:rRNA from 1 species
AGCUCCAAUAGCGUAUAUUAAAGUUGCUGCAGUUAAAAAGCUCGUAGUUGCAUUUCCGAGGCAAGGGAUUAGUCCGACCUUUGGUGGGUAUUUAAUCCUCUUGCCUCGUCCUUGAGUGGUGCUUCUUGGUAUUAAGUUAUCGAGGAGAUAGCCGCUCAUCGUUUACUGUGAGAAAAUUAGAGUGUUCAAAGCAGGCUUAUGCCGUUGAAUAUAUUAGCAUGGAAUAAUAAGAUAGGACCUCGGUACUAUUGUGUUGGUUUGAGAACCAAGGUAAUGAUGAAUAGGGACAGUUGGGGGUAUUCGUAUUCAGUUGUCAGAGGUGAAAUUCUUAGAUUUACGGAAGACGAACUACUGCGAAAGCAUUGACCAAGGAUGUUUUCA